UACGUAGGGUCCGAGCGUUGUCCGGAAUUACUGGGCGUAAAGCGCUCGUAGGCGGUUUGUCGCGUUGUUCGUGAAAACUCACAGCUCAACUGUGGGCGUGCGGGCGAUACGGGCAGACUGGAGUACUGCAGGGGAGACUGGAAUUCCUGGUGUAGCGGUGAAAUGCGCAGAUAUCAGGAGGAACACCGGUGGCGAAGGCGGGUCUCUGGGCCGAUACUGACGCUGAGGAGCGAAAGCGUGGGGAGCGAACAGG
rnacentral:rRNA from 1 species